GCAACGAGAGCAAGGUGAGAAUCCUUGCCGUCGAAAAUCUAAGGUUUCCCGGGGAAGGUUCGUCCGCCCGGGGUUAGUCGGGACCUAAGACGAGGCCGAGAGGCGUAGCCGAUGGAUAACAGGUCAAAAUUCCUGUACCACCGUUUCAUGUAUAAGAGAAGCAGGGACACAGGAGGAUAGUAACGCUCACUGCAAAAAGAGUGAGUUUAAGCAGAAUAACCGGUAUGUAGUAAAGUACGCAUACGGAAGGUAAGCUGUGAUGAGGAGGGAAAUCAAGUACCGAAGGUUAUGAUUCCACACUGGCGAGAAAAGCUGCUAUUUAGUGGAAAGGUGCCCGUACCGUAAACCGACACAGGUAGAUGAGGAGAGAAUCCUAAGACGAGCGGGAGAAGCGUUGUUAAGG
rnacentral:rRNA from 1 species